GGCUUUUUUGCCUCCCUUUUCCACCCAGCGCCUGUGGCACCUCCCUCCACCUCCAAGACCCCGACCGACCCUCUCUUCCUCUCCCGCCUCUUCAUGGACUCACUUCAUUCCUGUCGCAGGAGAACACGGCACUGAAGAUGGAAAAGCCAGCAAAACUUGGAGUUCAUCCACAGUGUGAGUUUUCUCCCUGAUGACCUGCUGGAUCCUUUCCAGACAGAUGUUGGGAGAUGUCCAGAGAACUUCACUGAAAGCCACAGGACACAGUGAGAAGGCAGCUGUCUUCAAGCCAGAAAGAGAGCUCUCACC